GAUGAACGCUGGCGGCGUGCCUAAUACAUGCAAGUCGAGCGAAAAGACGCGGAGCUUGCUCCUCUGACGUUAGCGGCGGACGGGUGAGUAACACGUGGAUAACCUACCUAUAAGACUGGGAUAACUUCGGGAAACCGGAGCUAAUACCGGAUAAUAUAUUGAACCGCAUGGUUCAAUAGUGAAAGACGGUUUUGCUGUCACUUCUAGAUGGAUCUGCGCGGCAUUAGCUAGUUGGUAAGGUAACGGCUUACCAAGGCGACGAUGCGUAGCCGACCGGAGAGGGGGGUCGGCCACACUGGAACUGAGACACGGUCCUUACUCCUACGGGAGGGAGCAGUAGGGAAUCUGCCGCAAUGGGCGAAAGCCUUGCGGAGCAACGCCGCGUGAGUGAUGAAGGCCUUCCGAUCGUAAUACUCUGUUACUAGGGAAGAACAAAUGUGUAAUUAACUAUGCACGUCUUGACGGUACCUAAUCAGAAAGCCACGGCUAACUACGUG
rnacentral:rRNA from 1 species